AUUGAACGCUGGCGGCAGGCCUAACACAUGCAAGUCGAACGAGUGGCGGACGGGUGAGUAAUGUCUGGGAAACUGCCUGAUGGAGGGGGAUAACUACUGGAAACGGUAGCUAAUACCGCAUACCAUCAGAUGUGCCCAGAUGGGAUUAGCUUGUUGGUGGGGUAACGGCUCACCAAGGCGACGAUCCCUAGCUGGUCUGAGAGGAUGACCAGCCACACUGGAACUGAGAAAGGGUCCAGACUCCUACGGGAGGCAGCAGUGGGGAAUAUGGCACAAGGGGCGCAAGCCUGAGGCAGCCAGGCCGCGUGUAUGAAGAAGGCCUUCGGGUUGUAAAGUACUUUCAGCGGGGAGGCGUUACCCGCAGAAGAGGCACCGGCUAACUCCGUGCCAGCAGCCGCGGUAAUUC
rnacentral:rRNA from 1 species